UUGAGGGCAAGUCUGGUGCCAGCAGCCGCGGUAAUUCCAGCUCCAAUAGCGUAUAUUAAAGUUGUUGCAGUUAAAAGCUCGUAGUUGAAUUUCGGGACCAGUAGGUUGGUCGUGCCUACGGUACGUACUGGCUUCACUGGUUCCUCCCUUCUGACAAACCAUGAUGCCAUUAAUUUGGUGUUGUGGGGAAUCAGGACUGUUACUGUGAAAAAAUUAGAGUGUUUAAAGCAGGCUUAAGCUUGAAUACAUUAGCAUGGAAUAAUGAAUAGGACGUUUGAUCUUAUUUGUUGGUUUCUAAGAUCGACGUAAUGAUUAAUAGGGAUAGUUGGGGGCAUUAGUAUACAAUUGUCAGAGGUGAAAUUCUUGGAUUUAUUGAAGACUAACUACUGCGAAAGCAUUUGCCAAGGAUGUUUUCAUUAAUCAGGAACGAAAGUUAGGGGAUCGAAGACGAUCAGAUACCGUCGUAGUCUUAACCAUAAACUAUGCCGACUAGGGAUCGGACGAUGUUAUUUUUGACUCGUUCGGCGCCUUACGGGAAAC
rnacentral:rRNA from 2 species